GGGAAUAUGGGGACCCUGUUGUCCUCUAUUGUUCAACGUCCCCUAUUGAUUCAGAAACAAACUCACAUACUCGCGUACCACUUGGGGUACCAAUAUUGCCCACUUCUUAUUCCCUACUUCUUAUUUCCUACUUCUUAUUCCUUAUCAUUGUUCGCCACUGAAAUCCCUUACGCUAUGGCCUUUCUGAUGUGGGGUACCAAGAUUUCUAAAGAUCAACUUGCGGGGUACUAUUGUCCCUAUUGUUAUUCUUUGUUCUCAGUACCCCGUAAGUACCAAUAUACACGGGUGAAUACGCCGUACGUGCACGCGCUUUAAUUAGCAAUUGAUUCCUAAGUUACAUUAUUGGAAGAUGUUUUGUUUUAAAGGCACAAAAAAAUAAUCACGUUGAGAUAAUGUAAGUAAGCUUAUAUCGCAAUUAGAUACUUGACUUAUUAUUUCUUUCAUUCAAACUUAAAUAUCAAUCGAAUUUACGUAUUUCGUUUCGUAGAAGAUAGCACAAGUGUCGAUUGUGUGCUUUGUGAUUCUACCUUUGUGCUAGACUCUGACCUGUUAUCGACCCUGCUGAACACGUAUAGGUACAGAUCUGCAUAUUAAAAAACAGAUGGUAAAAUU